rnacentral:rRNA from 1 species
AGUGAACGCUGGCGGUAGGCCUAACACAUCCGAGUCGAACGGCAGCACAGUAAGAGCUUGCUCUUACGGGUGGCGAGUGGCGGACGGGUGAGGAAUACAUCGGAAUCUACUUUUUCGUGGGGGAUAACGUAGGGAAACUUACGCUAAUACCGCAUACGACCUACGGGUGAAAGCAGGGGAUCUUCGGACCUUGCGCGAUUGAAUGAGCCGAUGUCGGAUUAGCUAGUUGGCGGGGUAAAGGCCCACCAAGGCGACGAUCCGUAGCUGGUCUGAGAGGAUGAUCAGCCACACUGGAACUGAGACACGGUCCAGACUCCUACGGGAGGCAGCAGUGGGGAAUAUUGGACAAUGGGCGCAAGCCUGAUCCAGCCAUACCGCGUGGGUGAAGAAGGCCUUCGGGUUGUAAAGCCCUUUUGUUGGGAAAGAAAAGCAGCAGGUUAAUACCCCGCUGUUCUGACGGUACCCAAAGAAUAAGCACCGGCUAACUUCGUG